rnacentral:rRNA from 1 species
UGAGGAAUAUUGGUCAAUGGGCGCAAGCCUGAACCAGCCAUCCCGCGUGCAGGAAGACGGCGCUAUGCGUUGUAAACUGCUUUUCCAGGGAGAGAAACUUGCGCACGUGUUGCGCAAUUGACGGUACCCUGGGAAUAAGCAUCGGCUAACUCCGUGCCAGCAGCCGCGGUAAUACGGAGGAUGCGAGCGUUAUCCGGAUUCAUUGGGUUUAAAGGGUGCGUAGGCGGACUAUUAAGUCAGUGGUGAAAUCCUGCAGCUUAACUGCAGAACUGCCAUUGAUACUGAUAGCCUUGAGUUUGGUUAAGGUAGGCGGAAUGUGUAAUGUAGCGGUGAAAUGCUUAGAUAUUACACAGAACACCAAUUGCGUAGGCAGCUUACUGAGCCGACACUGACGCUGAGGCACGAAAGCGUGGGGA